UACGAAGGGGGCGAGCGUUGUUCGGAGUUACUGGGCGUAAAGGGCGCGUAGGCGGCGCACCAAGUCAGGCGUGAAAGCCCUGGGCUCAACCCGGGAAUUGCGCUUGAGACUGGUGUGCUUGAGUACGGGAGAGGAUAGUGGAAUUCCCAGUGUAGAGGUGAAAUUCGUAGAUAUUGGGAAGAACACCGGUGGCGAAGGCGGCUAUCUGGACCGUAACUGACGCUGAGGCGCGAAAGCGUGGGGGAGCAAACAGG
rnacentral:rRNA from 1 species